rnacentral:lncRNA from 1 species
GUUAUUAUUGCCUUACUAUUAGAAUCAAUAAUGUCUGCUGCUUUUAAUUGCGAAGUAAUAUAUUAUUAGUUUUGAAUGAUUUAGGUCUGUAAUUGUUUAGAUUGUUUGAACACAAGUAACAAUAGGUUGCAUGAUCUAAUUAAACCACACGGUUGGCAAAGUUAGAAUUAGGUUUCUUUAUUUCAUAAAGCAGUUAACAGUUGAAAAGUGAAAAACACCAAGGACGUUUCUUGGUAGCUUGUUAACUAGUGUUUAAUUAGCGAACGUUUCCUAAUCAAACUAAAAUUAAGUAG